UACGUAGGGGGCGAGCGUUGUCCGGAUUUAUUGGGCGUAAAGAGCUCGUAGGCGGUUUGGCAAGUCGGGUGUGAAAACUCCGGGCUCAACUCGGAGACGCCACUCGAUACUGCCAUGACUCGAGUCCGGUAGGGGAGUGCGGAGUUCCUGGUGUAGCGGUGAAAUGCGCAGAUAUCAGGAGGAACACCGGUGGCGAAGGCGGCACUCUGGGCCGGAACUGACGCUGAGGAGCGAAAGCGUGGGGAGCAAACAGG
rnacentral:rRNA from 1 species